rnacentral:lncRNA from 1 species
GUUGAGGUUACUUCUUUUAUGUAUUAGCUCAUCCUGUACUUAUGUUGAGAGUAGAUCUUGUAUAGGGUGAGGUUUUGAGAGGAUUGUAUUUGUAUAUGAUUAUAUUUUGAGAAAAGAACGUAAGAGUUGUAAUUAAAUGUAUCAAGUUGAAUGGAUGUAAUAGAAUAGUUAAGUAUCUCUCUUUCUCUCACUUGUAUGGUUGUAUUACUCAUGAUGCUUGCUCUCGUAUUGUAUAGCACUGUUUGUGCUUUCGUUAUCGUUGUUUGAUCAUGUAUGUAAUCAAGUAUAUUUCCUGGAAACUUGUGUACAUGAUCUCGUUG